CUCGUCCUCUGAGGUAUAUCUCUCUCUCUCUACAGUAUCCAGAGGACUGACUACUGGAACGUGUGCUAGAAUGAUACUACAGCAGCUACGUCUGGUAUCUACCUGAAACUCGUCCUCUGAGGUAUAUCUCUCUCUCUACAGUAUCCAGAGGACUGACUACUGGAACGUGUGCUAGAAUGAUACUACAGCAGCUACGUCUGGUAUCUAUCUGAAACUCGUCCUCUGAGGUAUAUCUCUCUCUCUACAGUAUCCAGAGGACUGACUACUGGAACGUGUGCUAGAAUGAUACUACAGCAGCUACGUCUGGUAUCUAUCUGAAACUCGUCCUCUGAGGUAUAUCUCUCUCUCUCUACAGUAUCCAGAGGACUGACUACUGGAACGUGUGCUAGAAUGAUACUACAGCAGCUACGUCUGGUAUCUAUCUGAAACUCGUCCUCUGAGGUAUAUCUCUCUCUCUCUACAGUAUCCAGAGGACUGACUACUGGAACGUGUGCUAGAAUGAUACUACAGCAGCUACGUCUGGUAUCUAUCUGAAACUCGUCCUCUGAGGUAUAUCUCUCUCUCUACAGUAUCCAGAGGACUGACUACUGGAACGUGUGCUAGAAUGAUACUACAGCAGCUACGUCUGGUAUCUAUCUGAAACUCGUCCUCUGAGGUAUAUCUCUCUCUCUCUACAGUAUCCAGAGGACUGACUACUGGAACGUGUGCUAGAAUGAUACUACAGCAGCUACGUCUGGUAUCUAUCUGAAACUCGUCCUCUGAGGUAUAUCUCUCUCUCUACAGUAUCCAGAGGACUGACUACUGGAACGUGUGCUAGAAUGAUACUACAGCAGCUACGUCUGGUAUCUAUCUGAAACUCGUCCUCUGAGGUAUAUCUCUCUCUCUCUACAGUAUCCAGAGGACUGACUACUGGAACGUGUGCUAGAAUGAUACUACAGCAGCUACGUCUGGUAUCUAUCUGAAACUCGUCCUCUGAGGUAUAUCUCUCUCUCUCUACAGUAUCCAGAGGACUGACUACUGGAACGUGUGCUAGAAUGAUACUACAGCAGCUACGUCUGGUAUCUAUCUGAAACUCGUCCUCUGAGGAGAACCUUUUUAUGACAUCUACAUGGAUGUAUGAUCUCUGUGGUAAAUGUAGGCAGGUGAUAAAAAGCACAUAGCUGUAUUCAUGUAUAUGCACUAGAUGGCACUGUCCCUUUAAAGAGAUUCAUAAAUGAGGUGUGCAAGCGGUUAUGGGAUUGCGCAUGCGCAGUGUGUGAGAGUGAGAGCAAAAGCAAUUACACAGGAGAGCUGUUGAAAUCCAUCGUGGGUCCAACGUUACUUUAGAUUGACAUGAGGAUGUUAGCUUUUUUUGCUAGCUGAAUACCAGUGUACUCAGAAUAUUGCUAGCUGUGAGGUGCUACUGUUCCAUGUUAAGGUAUCACGUAGCCAGUGUAUUUAAUGCCACUACCGUUU